CAAAGACUCACCCGUGAGCUAUCUCCCUAAGAAAGCAACUUAUGUUGAUUGCCUGAGGGCAGCAAGAAUGCGGUCUCCCGGGAGAGGACGUUCUCUGUGGUGGGAAGCCAAGCUGGAGGGGCCUGAGUAAUCCUUUCCGCAGCGGGGCAGGGCAGUGGGAGAGGUGGUGUGUGGAUACCUCUGUCUCAUGCCCAGGGAUCAGUAGCAUGAACCAGCUCGGGGGGCUCUUUGUGAAUGGCCGGCCCCUGCCUCUGGAUACCCGGCAGCAGAUUGUGCGGCUGGCAGUCAGUGGAAUGCGACCCUGUGACAUCUCACGGAGCCUGAAGGUAUCUAACGGCUGUGUGAGCAAGAUCCUAGGGCGUUACUACCGCACAGGUGUCUUGGAGCCCAAGGGCAUUGGGGGAAGCAAGCCACGGCUGGCUACACCCCCAGUAGUGGCUCGAAUUGCCCAGCUGAAGGGUGAGUGUCCGGCCCUCUUUGCCUGGGAGAUCCAACGCCAGCUUUGUGCUGAAGGGCUUUGUACCCAGGACAAGACUCCCAGUGUCUCCUCCAUCAACCGAGUCCUGCGGGCACUACAGGAGAACCAGGGACUACCGUGGGCACAGUUCAGGUCACCAGUUGUUUCAGCUCCCGCUCUCCCCACUCCCCAUAGUGGCUCUGAGACUCCCCGGGGUCCCCACCCAGGGACCAGCCACCGGAAUCGGACUAUCUUCUCCCCAGGCCAAGCAGAGGCAUUGGAGAAAGAGUUCCAACGUGGGCAGUAUCCUGAUUCAGUGGCCCGUGGAAAGCUGGCUGCUGCCACCUCUCUGCCUGAGGACACAGUGAGGGUCUGGUUUUCCAACAGAAGAGCCAAAUGGCGCCGACAAGAGAAGCUCAAGUGGGAAAUGCAGCUUCCAGGUGUUUCCCAGGGGCUGACUGUGCCAAGUGUUGCCCCAGGAAUCAUCUCUGCACAGCAGUCCCCUGGCAGUGUGCCCACAGCAGCCCUGCCUGCCCUGGAACCACUGGGUCCCUCCUGCUAUCAGCUGUGCUGGGCAACAGCACCAGACAGGUGUCUGAGUGACACCCCACCUAAAUCCUGUCUCAAGCCCUGCUGGGGCCACCUGCCCCCACAGCCGAAUUCCCUGGACUCGGGACUGCUUUGCCUUCCUUGUUCUUCCUCCCACUGGCCCCUGGCCAGUGUUGAUGGCUCUCAGGCCCUGCUCUGGCCUGGCUGCCCACUACUGUAAGCUUGGAAUGAGGCAGGAGUGGGAAGGAGAUGGCCUAGGGAGGAUCUAAUACCAUCCUGCCCAUUGUCCUUACCGUCCUGCCCAUGCAGACUAUGGCUCCUUCCUCCUUCCUGUGAUCGCUCCCUCCUGUGCGCACCUUGUCUGGCCCCGCCUUGCUGCCUCUCCAGCACGUCACCUGAUUGGAGGGGCUGGUGAAGCGACACCCACCCACUUCUCACACUGGCCUUAAGAGGCCUCCACUCAGCAGUAAUAAAAAGUUUUUAUUAGCAGUAGUUCCAUCAUUCAUCAUGUUUCCCCUGUGAGCACCCCUUGCCCACUCUUGUAUUUAACAAUUAUAGACAGUUUGCCCUAUCAUCUAUUUACAUCUAUGUUUCUACCAUCUAAUCUAUGCGUGUAUGUAUGUAUGUAGCCAAUAUAUGUAUCUAAACGAUGUACUUAUCUAUGCAUCAAUGCAUCAAUUUAUCUUAUCUAUGUAUCUCUGUGUAUUAUACAUGUAUGUAUGCACAUGUGUGUGCAUACAUACACACACACACAGAUAUUACAUCAUGGCAUUUUAUUCCUAAGUCUUCUAGCAUGCAUCCCCCAAAAUAAGAAACUUGUCUUACAUAAUCACAAUAUCAUUUCUUCAUCUAAGAAAAUUUACUGUAAUUCCUUAAUCUAAGAAAAU